rnacentral:rRNA from 1 species
GCAACAAGCCAUAGCACCCUGCAGCUCGCACCCACUGAAACUAAGCAGGGUUGAGCCUGGCCAAUACAUGGAUGGGAGACCUCCUGGGGAAAACUAAGGUUGCUGCU